rnacentral:rRNA from 1 species
GGUUAAGCGACUAAGCGUACACGGUGGAUGCCCUGGCAGUCAGAGGCGAUGAAGGACGUGCUAAUCUGCGAUAAGCGUCGGUGAGGUGAUAUGAACCGUUAUAACCGGCGAUUUCCGAAUGGGGAAACCCAGUGUGUUUCGACACACUAUCAUUAACUGAAUCCAUAGGUUAAUGAGGCGAACCGGGGGAACUGAAACAUCUAAGUACCCCGAGGAAAAGAAAUCAACCGAGAUUCCCCCAGUAGCGGCGAGCGAACGGGGAGGAGCCCAGAGCCUGAAUCAGUGUGUGUGUUAGUGGAAGCGUCUGGAAAGGCGCGCGAUACAGGGUGACAGCCCCGUACACAAAAAUGCACAUAUUGUGAGCUCGAUGAGUAGGGCGGGACACGUGGUAUCCUGUCUGAAUAUGGGGGGACCAUCCUCCAAGGCUAAAUACUCCUGACUGACCGAUAGUGAACCAGUACCGUGAGGGAAAGGCGAAAAGAACCCCGGCGAGGGGAGUGAAAAAGAACCUGAAACCGUGUACGUACAAGCAGUGGGAGCCUCUUAAUGGGGUGACUGCGUACCUUUUGUAUAAUGGGUCAGCGACUUAUAUUCUGUAGCAAGGUUAACCGAAUAGGGGAGCCGAAGGG